rfam:Salmonella enterica subsp. enterica serovar Newport str. S09097 S_Newport_S09097_mira454_c473, whole genome shotgun sequence.
CAAGCAUGAACGCUGCUAUUUUCCGUUUCUUUUUUUACUUUAGCACCUGAUUCCAGGAGGCUAGCGCGUGAAAAAACGAAACGAAAAAACAGCGCAAAAAAAGCCUCCUGAUGGAGGCUUUUUUGUU